rnacentral:rRNA from 1 species
AGUGAACGCUGGCGGUAGGCCUAACACAUGCAAGUCGAACGGCAGCACAGUAAAAGCUUGCUCUUACGGGUGGCGAGUGGCGGACGGGUGAGGAAUACAUCGGAAUCUACUUUUUCGUGGGGGAUAACGUAGGGAAACUUACGCUAAUACCGCAUACGACCUACGGGUGAAAGCAGGGGAUCUUCGGACCUUGCGCGAUUGAAUGAGCCGAUGUCGGAUUAGCUAGUUGGCGGGGUAAAGGCCCACCAAGGCGACGAUCCGUAGCUGGUCUGAGAGGAUGAUCAGCCACACUGGAACUGAGACACGGUCCAGACUCCUACGGGAGGCAGCAGUGGGGAAUAUUGGACAAUGGGCGCAAGCCUGAUCCAGCCAUACCGCGUGGGUGAAGAAGGCCUUGGGGUUGUAAAGCCCUUUUGUUGGGAAAGAAAAGCAGCAGGUUAAUACCCCGCUGUUCUGACGGUACCCAAAGAAUGAGCACCGGCUAACUUCGUG